rnacentral:rRNA from 1 species
UGCCCCGAAGCGGGGGAUAACAUUUGGAAACAAAUGCUAAUACCGCAUAAUUAGUUGGAACCGCAUGGUUCCAACUUGAAAGAUGGCUCUGCUAUCACUUUGGGAUGGACCCGCGCCGUAUUAGUUAGUUGGUGAGAUAAAAGCCCACCAAGACGAUGAUACGUAGCCGACCUGAGAGGGUAAUCGGCCACAUUGGGACUGAGACACGGCCCAGACUCCUACGGGAGGCAGCAGUAGGGAAUCUUCCACAAUGGACGAAAGUCUGAUGGAGCAACGCCGCGUGAGUGAUGAAGGUUUUCGGAUCGUAAAACUCUGUUGUUAAAGAAGAACAAGUGUUAGAGUAACUGUUAACACUUUGACGGUAUUUAACCAGAAAGCCACGGCUAACUACGUGCCAGCAGCCGCGGUAAUACGUAGGUGGCAAGCGUUGUCCGGAUUUAUUGGGCGUAAAGCGAGCGCAGGCGGUUUUGUAAGUCUGCUGUGAAAGCCCU